rnacentral:rRNA from 1 species
UACGUAGGGUGCAAGCGUUAAUCGGAAUUACUGGGCGUAAAGCGUGCGCAGGCGGUCAUGCAAGACAGAUGUGAAAUCCCCGGGCUCAACCUGGGAACUGCAUUUGUGACUGCAUGGCUGGAGUGCGGCAGAGGGGGAUGGAAUUCCGCGUGUAGCAGUGAAAUGCGUAGAUAUGCGGAGGAACACCGAUGGCGAAGGCAAUCCCCUGGGCCUGCACUGACGCUCAUGCACGAAAGCGUGGGGAGCGAACAGG